GGACUAAACAUCAGCCCCACCAAAACAGACGCCAUGACCCUUAACGUCUCUAACCCUCAGCCCAUCAAGGUGAAUGGAAAAGACCUCCCAAUGACCGAUCAGUUUAAAUACUUGGGCAGCAUGGUGGUGCAGGCUUAGACAUCCAGAGCCAGCUAAACAAAGCCAGAAACACCUUCGGGAUACUGAACAAUGUGUGGCGGUCGUCACAGUACAGUACACAUACCAAGCUCAAGAUCUAUCAGAGCUGUGUUCUGUCUACCCUUUUGUGUGGGUCAGAAUGUUGGCGAAUGUUGGAAAGUGAUCUGGGAAAGCUGUCAACCUUUCACACCAAAAGUCUGCGAAAAAUACUUCGCAUCUUCUGGCCUCAGACCAUUUCCAACAAGGAUCUGCUUUCGUGGUGCAAACAGGAGGACAUGGGUACUAUUAUUAUGCAAUGACGCUGGAGGUGGAUUGGCCAUGUCAUUCGAAAGGAUAAUGACUCCAUCACAAAGACAGCACUAUACUGGACUCCCGAAGGCAGGCGCAAGCAUGGUAGGCCUAAGAAUACAUGGCGUUGUACUGUUGAGACAGAAUCAAGGGGCUUAAAACAGAGCUGGAAUAAGAUCCAACAGCUGGCCAAAGACAGAUGGAAGUGGAAGAACUUUGUUGAGCCUUUUGAAAUUAUCAAAGUCAAGCCAAGGGGCAGUUUAGAUGAAGAUGCUGCUUGUGAGAAGACUUACGUGCGCUUCAGCCAUCGGAAACCAGUGAAGGCUGGAAUUUCAUGGCGAUCCAAGACUGUGGAAUGGAGCUCUCAUUAAGAGAUUCAUUAGAGGCAAUUCAACUCAUUAUUUGCUCACCGAGGGAAGUCGUGAAUCUGACGAGUCACAAGUGCUUCCUUCAGAUUCAGAAAGGCUUCUUAAAACCCUCCCAUGGAAGGAAAGGGAACCCACGAUCAGAGACUUUCUUUUGGCUCCAACGAAGCUUGGACCGAUGAAAUUGCAGAUGAAAUUGUGAAAUACUUUUCACCAUCAGAAGGUCAUAAAGGUUACUUUCACCAGCAAGAAUCCAGAAUGCUCAGUCUGCGACGUGAAUGCGAUGCUGACAAUUCGAAUUAAGAGUUGCUUACCGCUUUACGGGAGGAAAAAGGAAAACAAAGCAUCGGAAGGUUAAAAUGGAAGAUAGCUCCGAUUUAAAAACAUUUUAUACGGUGCUAAACAGAGAUUAUGUCUUUUUAGCUGUGAGACUGAACGUAGAGUACUUAUAGUUGUUAAACACGAUACAGUGUGAGCUAAAAUCUAAGAAAGGUAUGCUGAAUACUGCUAUAGACCUUUCCCGUAUUCCACUUCACUGUAUACUAUAAGUAGUAACCAAACGACGUUGUUGUGGACAAUUUCAUUCAUUUCUUGUAUUUUUAUUUUGCAUUUUUAUCUGCCGUGCCAGAUUCGUGUAGCCCGACAGAGCUUGUCGAACUUAAUUGCUUACCGAGCUCAGAAGUUCUAACUUCAAACGAACUUCCUAAGUUUGAUUCAGACGCCGUACUUCUGCCAUACUUUUGUCGAACUUGAUUGCUGAAUUCAGUUGAGCACGGCAGAAGUGCGAUGUCUGAACUGGGCCCACGCGAGGAUUUUCCCUGAAGUAACUGGGAAAAAAAACUGGUAAAUUCUAUUAAAGGAAAAUAAUUUUUCUGGGAGGGAGGGCGUUAAUUGCUCUUUAAUUUGCCCGAAAAUAGAUAUUUGAGUUUAUAGCCUGCUAGGUUAUAAGAAAUGAAUGCAGUCAAUGAAAUAGUGAAGCUGUUGAUAGCGCUCGUGCAAACGAAAUUGUACGACAAGUAGUUAUAUUACAUUAGUCUUCCUAACCAAGGUUGUAAAUUUUAAACUUUUUAAGCGAUGACGCGAUAGACUUCUCGCUUUCUUGCCAUUAUUCUUUACCAUUAUUAAUCCCUUUUAAAGCGUCCGAUUGGACGACUCUUUUUAGUGACUGGUGCUAUGCCAUUGCAAGAGAGGAUCAUAAGUAAGAACUUUAUUGAAGUGUCAAUGUAGUUAGCUCAUGGGGACCAAUUGGGGACACCGUGUUAACUCUACCAAACAAUUUUCAUUAAUAAUCUCUUAGUUUACAGAUGUGUUGUAUCAAAGGUAAAAUUCGAUUAAGUACAGUUCGCACACAAGACAAGGGACCCAUUCGAGUGUACUUUUAUCGGACAGCUGUAACUCGGUUCUUGAGCUGUUCAUUCUCCAUUUAGCCUCAAAUAAGCUGUAGAUUUGAAGAGUUUGUUGCUGAUAUAAUCAGCCUAGCGGACUUUGAAGUCAGGAUAACUGUAAUAUAAUGUAUAUGAAAACAAGGGAUCAACGCAAACAUAUAUAGUUUGCAAAGUAAAGAACAGAUCGAUGCAAGAGUUCAUCCUUGAAUUUUUAUGCCCAAUACCGUGACCUGAAUUUUAAAAGAGUUAAACAUGCAAUUUGAACUUAAAAUGUUCAUCAAAGAAUAAAGAUUAAAUAACAAUAAAUUUAAGCUACCACUA
rnacentral:lncRNA from 1 species